rnacentral:rRNA from 1 species
UACGUAGGGCGCAAGCGUUAUCCGGAAUUAUUGGGCGUAAAGAGCUCGUAGGCGGUUUGUCGCGUCUGCCGUGAAAGUCCGGGGCUCAACUCCGGACGUCUGCGGUGGGUACGGGCAGACUAGAGUGUGGUAGGGGAGACUGGAAUUCCUGGUGUAGCGGUGAAAUGCGCAGAUAUCAGGAAGAACACCCGUGGCGAAGGCGGCUCUCUGGGACGGUACUGACGCUGAGACGCGAAAGCGUGGGGAGCAAACAGG